rnacentral:rRNA from 1 species
CCCCAGCGCCACAAGUGGGAGCCACGAUUAUUGGGCCUAAAGCGUCCGUAGCCGGCCUGUCAAAUCUUUUGUGAAAUCGACUCGCUUAACUUGUCGACGAGCAGGAGACACUAACGGGCUAGGGACUGGGAGGAGUCAGAGGUAUUCCUUGGGGAGCGGUAAAAUGUGAUAAUCCUUGGAAGACCACCUGUGGCGAAGGCGUCUGACUAGAACAGAUCCGACGGUGAGGGACGAAAGCCAGGGGA